CGGCGGGACGGGGCCUCCCGCGGGCGGGCGGGAGCAUGGAGAGCCCGGCGGCGGCGGGCGCUGGCGGCGGGGCGGGCGCGCCGCCGAGGAGGAGAGCCGCAGCAAGCCCAAGGCGAUCGCUGGAAAAUUUAUAUUAAUUAUACUGUGAUCGCUGAUGACCCAAGCUCAUAUAUGAAGCAAAGGAUAGAAUUAAAAAUGUUAUAUGUGUUAAAAGAUGACUUCAUCUUAUCUGCAUCAGCUGCAGUUCUUCAGAGUGAUCCACAGAAUAAAGUGCUGGAGACAUGAGAUGGUAGUGGAGGAGGUCUUAGGCAUGCUGGAUGUGUGAUGCAUGUUUGCUGCUGGUAGCCUGUAUGCAGUUCAUCAAUGCCCUUGUUACAUCUCCAGAAGAUCUUGGUUUUGGGAUACGCUUGAGAAAUGAAUUUUUAAAUUGUAGGCUGAAAAAAAUAUUGGCUGACUUGAAAGAUAAUGAAGAGCUUGAUAUUCCGUUGAAAAUGUUUGAUGAAAACAAAGACGACGACUUAAUUGAGCUGUCACAUCGUCUCAGUGAUAUCAGAGCUGAAAUGG